rnacentral:miRNA from 1 species
UGACAACACACACACACACAUCUUUGUGAGUGUGUGUGUGUGUGUGUGUGUAAAUAAAGUAGAGAAAA